AGGGAACAAACCCCCACAGAGAAGAGUAUGGGGUUCUGAAGUCAAACCGCCUGGAUCCAGCCCCUGCUCUAGGCCUUGGAGUAGCGUUACCUUGGCUGUGUUUCCCAAUCAAGCCAAGACUCAGCGUCCUCGUCUAUGCUGACUAUCUAAGCAAAGCUGGAAAACAUACAUAAAACAGCCUUCGGGAAACACAUAUGCAUCAUCAGCCAACAAAUGUGCAUGGGAGGAGCCUUGCCCUUAGGCAGGCUGGUGUGUGGUGAGGCCCCUGUAGCACCAGCAGCUUUCACCAGCUCUGACUCUCCAUCUAGAGACUCAAAUGCCUGGACCUGCCUGACUUCUCUAGAAGGGUUCCCCCUGGGCAAAGCUCCUGAGGGCCUGGGCCUGGCCCUGGCUGUGUGGACCCCAUUAUUACCAUCAGAAAUUGUCUACUGAGCACUCACUGAAACAGGCUGAGUGGGGCAGCAGAGAAUGAGCUGGAGAAUCAGGGUGCAGAGAAGGGGGCCAUUCCUGUGACCUCUGUGGGUGGAAGAGGGAGCAUCUGGUCUCGUUUACGAGUUUAUUUGACAUUUGA